rnacentral:rRNA from 1 species
GAUCCUUCGGGUGAGGGGGAAGCGGCGAAAGGGGCAGUAAAGCGUGGGUAACCUACCCUCUGGUUCAGAAUAGCCUCCCUAACGGGUGGGUAAUGCUGAAUAAUGUGGCAGCACCAAAGGUCCGCCGCCAGAGGAGGGGCUCACGUGGUAUUAGCUUGUUGGUGGGGUAAUGGCCUACCAAGGCUUAGAUGCCUAGCUGGUGUGGGAGCACGACCAGCGCCACUGGAACUGAGACACUGUCCAGACUCCUACGGGAGGCUGCAGUCGAGAAUCUUCGGCAAUGGACGAAAGUCUGACCGAGCGACGCCGCGUGCAGGAAGAAGGCCUUCGGGUUGUAAACUGCUUUCGGGGGGGAGUAAAGCUUCGGUUUGAACUAUCCCCUAAAGAAGCACGGGCUAAGUUCGUGCCAGCAGCCGCGGUAAGACGAACCGUGCGAACGUUGUUCGGAAUCACUGGGCUUAAAGGGUGCGUAGGCGGAAGGCCAAGUCAGAGGUGAAAGCCCCCAGCUCAACUGGGGAAGUGCCCCUGAUACUGGUUUUCUGGAGUGAGGUAGGGGCACGUGGAACUGGUGGUGGAGCGGUGAAAUGCGUAGAGAUCACUAGGAACGCCGGUGGCGAAAGCGACGUGCUGGACCUUUACUGACGCUGAGGCACGAAAGCCAGGGUAGCGAACGGGAUUAGAUACCCCGGUAGUCCUGGCCCUAAACGAUGAGCACUAGGU